UAGGGCAGAGGUGGAAGCAUGGCAACAUGUGGAGCUGACUGUUACUAAUAGGUCGAGGGCUUAAUCUG
rnacentral:rRNA from 1 species